UGGACAGCCUUCUGAAAGGAAGAUUAAUACAAGAUGGCAUCAUGAGUUCACAUGUUCACAUGAUUAAAGGUAUUCCGGUAGACGAUGGGGAUGCGUUCCAUUAGAUAGUAGGCGGGGUAACGGCCCACCUAGUCUUCGAUGGAUAGGGGUUCUGAGAGGAAGGUCCCCCACAUUGGAACUGAGACACGGUCCAAACUCCUACGGGAGGCAGCAGUGAGGAAUAUUGGUCAAUGGGCGAGAGCCUGAACCAGCCAAGUAGCGUGAAGGAUGACUGCCCUAUGGGUUGUAAACUUCUUUUAUAAAGGAAUAAAGUCGGGUAUGGAUACCCGUUUGCAUGUACUUUAUGAAUAAGGAUCGGCUAACUCCGUGCCAGCAGCCGCGGUAAUACGGAGGAUCCGAGCGUUAUCCGGAUUUAUUGGGUUUAAAGGGAGCGUAGAUGGAUGUUUAAGUCAGUUGUGAAAGUUUGCGGCUCAACCGUAAAAUUGCAGUUGAUACUGGAUAUCUUGAGUGCAGUUGAGGCAGGCGGAAUUCGUGGUGUAGCGGUGAAAUGCUUAGAUAUCACGAAGAACUCCGAUUGCGAAGGCAGCCUGCUAAGCUGCAACUGACAUUGAGGCUCGAAAGUGUGGGUAUCAAACAGGAUUAGAUACCCUGGUAGUCCACACGGUAAACGAUGAAUACUCGCUGUUUGCGAUAUACUGCAAGCGGCCAAG
rnacentral:rRNA from 1 species